AACGAACGCUGGCGGCAGGCUUAACACAUGCAAGUCGAGCGCGUAGCAAUACGAGCGGCAGACGGGUGAGUAACGCGCGGGAAUCUACCCAACCCUACGGAAUAACGCAUGGAAACGUGUGCUAAUACCGUAUACGCCCUUCGGGGAAGGAUUAUCGGGAGUGGAUGAGCCCGCGUUGGAGUUAGCUAGUUGGUGGGGUAAAGGGCCUACCAAGGCGACGAUCCAUAGCUGGUCUGAGAGGAUGAUCAGCCACAUUGGGACUGAGACACGGCCCAAACUCCUACGGGAGGCAGCAGUGGGGAAUAUUGGACAAUGGGCGGCAAGUCUGAUCCAGCCAUGCCGCGUGAGUGAUGAAGGCCCUAGGGUUGUAAAGCUCUUUCACCGGUGAAGAUAAUGACGGUAACCGGAGAAGAAGCCCGGCUAACUUCGUGCCAGCA
rnacentral:rRNA from 1 species